AUGGAGAUGAGCUCAGAGUGGGCUGCCGUUCACAGCAGCCCACAAGAGAGGUCCUGUCUCAAGCAAGGUGGAAGACAGGGACUAACAUCCAAGCUGGUUCUCUGACCUCCAUCCCCACCAAGGCCGUGGCGCAUCCAUGCCCACAUGAGCUCACACACACAGUUUUAAAAAUGGACUUGACUGGAAGCAUCCCUUCAGGAGUUUCUGGAGAAUCUCGAAGCUCACCACGUUGGGUCAGGCGAGGCUUGAAUUUGCCGAGCGUUUGCAGCAUUGUCUGACAGAAAAUAAAUGUCCUGUGAGCAUCUCUGAAAUUAACAUCAUUAGUAUCCAGACCUCUGACUUUGCCUCUGUUCCUCAGUUUCUCAUCCAUGUCACGGGGAAGGGACAGAAUGAGAUAAGGCAUUCAAGCUAAGCCCAUGGAGGUGUUUUCUCUGAGCCACAUCUUAAUCAUAGUCUGUCCUGUAAAUGGAGUUGAGCUUUAUGUGUAGAAAUGCCUGCUUUUGUACGACCCUCUUACUUCAGUCUUGAAAUAAAUAAUUUUUUGGUUUA